rnacentral:rRNA from 1 species
UACGAAGGGGGCGAGCGUUGUUCGGAUUUACUGGGCGUAAAGGGCGCGUAGGCGGCCCUCCUAGUCGCGUGUGAAACGCCCCGGGCUCAACCUGGGACGGCGCGCGGAAACGGGGGGGCUGGAGUUCGGGAGAGGAGCGUGGAAUUCCCAGUGUAGAGGUGAAAUUCGUAGAUAUUGGGAAGAACACCGGGUGGCGAAGGCGGCGCUCGUGGACCGAGACUGACGCUGAGGCGCGGAAAGCGUGGGGAGCAAACAGGG